GCGGUGUAGUUCAAUGGUAGAACUUCAGCCUUCCAAGCUGACUACGUGGGUUCGAUUCCCAUCACCCGCUCCA
rnacentral:tRNA from 1 species